UUCACUCUCUUUGCGAUUUCGCUUUGAUAACUGGCAGUGCCGUUCUUUCAUCAAGUGGUUCUGAUGAAGCCUCCUACGGGAGUGCGCUCCAAGUCACUUUUAUUUUUGGAACCAGCCUGGGGAGCGCUGAGCUUCGCUCAUCUUCCUGGGCACAGUGUCGCCCUUAUUGCACUGCCUGGGGCUGACGCGAACCAUC
rnacentral:snRNA from 1 species